AGCUGUCCUCAAGGAGCUGGAGUCGCUUGGUGGAGUUUCAGCCUCUGGGUGCCCUGGCUUGCCCUUGGCGAGGUGGUCCUGGAAGUGAAGUGACCAGGACUGGGAAAUGGCAAAGAUCGAAGAGGGGAGGCAGAGACUGGAGAAGCUAAACCAAGCAACAGCCUGAGACUAAGUGCCAAGUGUGUAAAUACAUUCUGGCCAAA
ensembl:lncRNA novel transcript, antisense to SGSM2